rnacentral:rRNA from 1 species
UCCUUUAGAUUUUUUUUUAAGUUUUGCCCUCCCCACAAAUUUAUGGAAGGGCCCCGUUUUUUAAAUGGGGCAAAGGUGGAAUAUCCAUUGUUUUUUUAAUGGGGGGUGGGAAGGAAGGGUGGGGAAAAUUAUGGCCCGUUUCAGUUUAAUUUUUACACAAAUUUUAUUUUUUAGUUAAAAACUUAAAAUUUAUUUAAAAGAGGGGAAGCCCCUUUAAUUUUUUUUUUUUUUGAAAAAAUGGAACUUUAGGGUGCAAUUUUUUUUUUUUUGUCAUAAUAUUUUAUUGGGGUGAUAUUAAAAUUUAAUGAACUGUUAAUUAUAAUUUUCAGUUGUGUCUGAGUGUGUGAUCCAAUAUUGGAGAAAAAAAAAAUAAGACACUAGGGGGAUAACAGCGUUAUUUUUUUGGAGAGUUAUAAUCGAUAAAAAGGAAGCGACCUGGAUGGUGGAUUGGACAGAUGUAUUGGGGCGU